rnacentral:lncRNA from 1 species
UGGUGACAGAGCAAGCAUCUGUCUCAAAAAAAAAAAAAAAAGAAAAGAAAAGAAAAGACAGUCUCAGUGCUAGCCAAGGAAAUGAAAGUAUGAAGUGACAAAGAGAUGUCUCCUGUUUUUCACAGGUGGUCAGAGCGGGCUUCAGCUGUGCAGAUCUGUCAGGGAAGGGCACUCCGGGCAGAGGAGCAGAGGUGGAAAGGCUGUGUGGUGGACCUGUGCCCAGUGUCUCUGAACUGCAAGCAGGGUGCUGUAAGGACGAGAUGCUUUCACCAGCAGCCGAGUGAGAUGAAAGCGCUUUUCCGAUCCACCGAAUCAGUCCCACUGCAACUGUAAGCUGGAGACCCUCUGGGCCUUGGGAGCUCAGGCUGCCUGGGCAACGCAAGGGAGGACAGGGGCGGAGGGGGAGCCAGGAGGGCCGCACCUGCCUCGCUCGCUGGUCGCCCUCGCUCUGGGAUCCGUCCUGCCGGUCCCAGGCUGUUGAGGGCGCCUCCUCAGAGUCCCUGUGGCCCCCGCAGCUUCCCCGGAAGAAACCCGUGCAUCCAUCGGCUAGCCCAAGCCCAAGCUCCUCCCGGAGCUCCCCGAGCCGGGGCCAGGCCUCCGCCCCUCGGUGCCCGCGCCUGGGCUCCUCCCGCUGCGGGCCGCCCGCCCGGACGCAAGGCACAGGGGGACGCCCCGCCGAGCCGCUGCCCACUGCACCGAGUUUUUCGGAGGCUGGGAGAGGAAAUGCCACUUGGAUUUUAAAACCGUCACCGAUACGCUAUAGGUGAAUAUUUCGCUGGGAUUUUAAAGAGACGAGCUUCAGCCUGCUAAGCCGCGCUCACGCCGCCUCUCCGCCCUGGCCUCCCCGCGUCCGGCUUGGGGCCGGGUCCCUCCCGGGUCAAAGCUACGCCGGGUGCACUGCGGGCUGGGCAGCUCUCCCACUACGCCCAAAGCCCAGGCGGCCGGGACCGCCGUCCCAAAGUCACAAACCACACCCGUGAAGGACGCCCUCCGCAAGACAGAGAGGAGGCUGGGCCUGGGAAGGAACCUCCGGCCCUUCCUCACCAUGCAGCCAAGCCCUGCUUUCUCUACCUCCAGUCGUUUUCUGAGGACCGGCUUGGUGGGUGCUGAUGCCUGCCUGGAAGACCUCACACCCACAGUGUCUUAGAAGAUUCUGAAAGCAGUGUGAGACCAGAAUGACCAGCAAAGGAGAAAAGAACAAGGACACAUUGCAGCCAAAAUGGAGCUAGAAUCUUGCCUCUGUCCAUCCUUCACUGGAGUUAUCCUGGAUGGAGAAGGAACCAUAUCACCUGCAAAGCCUGGAAGGGGAGCCCUGCUGUGAGCGAUCCAGUGUUCAAGCUGGUCAUCAGGAGAAAGCUACUUAUGAUUUCCUAACAAGCCACCACAGAACAUCACAUUCCCAAACAUGCUCUUCACCGUCCCUGCUGUCCCCACGUGCCUAGCCCUGGUGUGGGCAGGAAUGAGUGGGAUUGGGAUGUUUUCUCACAGGUCUUUCUCAGGUGAGGCCCCAGGCUGUGACCAGGCCCCUGCCCUGCAUGUGACUCAGGCCUAGCCCCUGCUGGGGCAGGAAUGCCACCCAGCACAGCAUCCUACUGGUGCCUGAAUAAAGAAUGGACUGGAGGUUCACCUGAAAGGGGCUGCCAGGUUUCUGCGGGGGCCAGCCAACGGCUCACAAUGACCCUGUGUUCGACUCAUCUUACGAUGAAAUUUUUCAGCUUGACGAACUUUUACUCAUCUUUCAAGGCUCGGCUCAAAUGUUAUUUCCCUGGGAAAACUGCGCUACUUUCAGCAAAAUGCAUUUCCUUU